rnacentral:lncRNA from 1 species
GUCCGCUGCCGUCGCCUCCCGAGGGUCCUGCCGGGCGUCCAGAGGGUCAUUGGUCGGAGCGCCCCACGGAGGGGAGCUGCCGGCCAUCAAGAAAGGGGGUUUUUUUUUUUUUUUUUUUUUUUUUUUUUUUUUUUUUUUUUUUUUUUUUUUUUUUUUUUUUUUUUUUUUUUUUUUUUUUUUUUUUUUUUUUUUUUUUUUUUUUUUUUUUUUUUUUUUUUUUUUUUUUUUUUUUUUUUUUUUUUUUUUUUUUUUUUUUUUUUUUUUUUUUUUUUUUUUUUUUUUUUUUUUUUUUUUUUUUUUUUUUUUUUUUUUUUUUUUUUUUUUUUUUUUUUUUUUUUUUUUUUUUUUUUUUUUUUUUUUUUUUUUUUUUUUUUUUUUUUUUUUUUUUUUUUUUUUUUUUUUUUUUUUUUUUUUUUUUUUUUUUUUUUUUUUUUUUUUUUUUUUUUUUUUUUUUUUUUUUUUUUUUUUUUUUUUUUUUUUUUUUUUUUUUUUUUUUUUUUUUUUUUUUUUUUUUUUUUUUUUUUUUUUUUUUUUUUUUUUUUUUUUUUUUUUUUUUUUUUUUUUUUUUUUUUUUUUUUUUUUUUUUUUUUUUUUUUUUUUUUUUUUUUUUUUUUUUUUUUUUUUUUUUUUUUUUUUUUUUUUUUUUUUUUUUUUUUUUUUUUUUUUUUUUUUUUUUUUUUUUUUUUUUUUUUUUUUUUUUUUUUUUUUUUUUUUUUUUUUUUUUUUUUUUUUUUUUUUUUUUUUUUUUUUUUUUUUUUUUUUUUUUUUUUUUUUUUUUUUUUUUUUUUUUUUUUUUUUUUUUUUUUUUUUUUUUUUUUUUUUUUUUUUUUUUUUUUUUUUUUUUUUUUUUUUUUUUUUUUUUUUUUUUUUUUUUUUUUUUUUUUUUUUUUUUUUUUUUUUUUUUUUUUUUUUUUUUUUUUUUUUUUUUUUUUUUUUUUUUUUUUUUUUUUUUUUUUUUUUUUUUUUUUUUUUUUUUUUUUUUUUUUUUUUUUUUUUUUUUUUUUUUUUUUUUUUUUUUUUUUUUUUUUUUUUUUUUUUUUUUUUUUUUUUUUUUUUUUUUUUUUUUUUUUUUUUUUUUUUUUUUUUUUUUUUUUUUUUUUUUUUUUUUUUUUUUUUUUUUUUUUUUUUUUUUUUUUUUUUUUUUUUUUUUUUUUUUUUUUUUUUUUUUUUUUUUUUUUUUUUUUUUUUUUUUUUUUUUUUUUUUUUUUUUUUUUUUUUUUUUUUUUUUUUUUUUUUUUUUUUUUUUUUUUUUUUUUUUUUUUUUUUUUUUUUUUUUUUUUUUUUUUUUUUUUUUUUUUUUUUUUUUUUUUUUUUUUUUUUUUUUUUUUUUUUUUUUUUUUUUUUUUUUUUUUUUUUUUUUUUUUUUUUUUUUUUUUUUUUUUUUUUUUUUUUUUUUUUUUUUUUUUUUUUUUUUUUUUUUUUUUUUUUUUUUUUUUUUUUUUUUUUUUUUUUUUUUUUUUUUUUUUUUUUUUUUUUUUUUUUUUUUUUUUUUUUUUUUUUUUUUUUUUUUUUUUUUUUUUUUUUUUUUUUUUUUUUUUUUUUUUUUUUUUUUUUUUUUUUUUUUUUUUUUUUUUUUUUUUUUUUUUUUUUUUUUUUUUUUUUUUUUUUUCUUUUUAUUUUUUAGUUAUGGUAUUAUAAUUUAUGACGGCGUAGCGCCGUGUUUUUGUUUAUUUUUAAAACGUGUCCUGGCAGAGGCGAGAUCGGUGCUCGUCCUC